GUCUAUGACCACGCCAUCCUGAACAUGCCCGAUCUCAUCUGAUCUCAGAAGCUAAGCAGGGUUGGGCCUGGUUUGUACUUGGAUUGCGAGACCACCUAGGAAGACUGGGUGCUACAGGCA
rnacentral:rRNA from 1 species